AAGAUUUUAAGUUAAUUAAACUAAUAGCCUUCAAAGCUAUAAAUAAAAUUAUUUUUUUAAAUCUUA
rnacentral:tRNA from 2 species